rnacentral:ncRNA from 1 species
GAGAGCCCGGUGCAUUGAAAGGUGCACGCCGGGUUCGGGAAGCGGCCCGGGAAAACGGAACAACCCCAACGGUUGUCACCGCGUCCCGGGCCGACUUUCAC